rnacentral:rRNA from 1 species
CCCAGACUCCUACGGGAGGCAGCAGUGGGGAAUAUUGCACAAUGGGCGCAAGCCUGAUGCAGCGACGCCGCGUGGGGGAUGACGGCCUUCGGGUUGUAAACUCCUUUCGCCCGGGACGAAGCCCACCUGGUGGGUGACGGUACCGUGGAGAAGAAGCACCGGCUAACUACGUGCCAGCAGCCGCGGUAAUACGUAGGGUGCAAGCGUUGUCCGGAUUUACUGGGCGUAAAGAGCUCGUAGGUGGUGUGUCGCGUCGUCUGUGAAAUUCCGGGGCUUAACUCCGGGCGUGCAGGCGAUACGGGCACGACUAGAGUGCUGUAGGGGUAACUGGAAUUCCUGGUGUAGCGGUGAAAUGCGCAGAUAUCAGGAGGAACACCGAUGGCGAAGGCAGGUUACUGGGCAGUUACUGACGCUGAGGAGCGAAAGCAUGGGGAGCGAACAGGAUUAGAUACCCUGGUAGUCCAUGCUGUAAAUCGGUGGGCGCUAGGUGUGGGCUGUGUGUUUGCAGUCUGUGCCGUAGCUAACGUAUUAAGCGCCCCGCCUGGGGAGUAUCGGCCGCAAGGCUAAAAUCUUCAAAUGGAAGUUGAUCGGAAUGGGCGAAUUCCUGCA